AGUGAACGCUGGCGGUAGGCCUAACACAUGCAAGUCGAACGGCAGCACAGUAAGAGCUUGCUCUUACGGGUGGCGAGUGGCGGACGGGUGAGGAAUACAUCGGAAUCUAUUUUUUCGUGGGGGAUAACGUAGGGAAACUUACGCUAAUACCGCAUACGACCUACGGGUGAAAGAAGGGGAUCUUCGGACCUUGCGCGACUGAAUGAGCCGAUGUCGGAUUAGCUAGUUGGCGGGGUAAAGGCCCACCAAGGCGACGAUCCGUAGCUGGUCUGAGAGGAUGAUCAGCCACACUGGAACUGAGACACGGUCCAGACUCCUACGGGAGGCAGCAGUGGGGAAUAUUGGACAAUGGGCGCAAGCCUGAUCCAGCCAUACCGCGUGGGUGAAGAAGGCCUUCGGGUUGUAAAGCCCUUUUGUUGGGAAAGAAAAGCAGCAGGUUAAUACCCCGCUGUUCUGACGGUACCCAAAGAAUAAGCACCGGCUAACUUCGU
rnacentral:rRNA from 1 species